ensembl:lncRNA
CAGCCACACUAAGUCAUAGUUCAACCACUGUGUUACCAGCCACACUAAGUCAUAGUUCAACCACUGUGUUACCAGCCACACUAAGUCAUAGUUCAAUCACUGUGUUACCAGCCACACUAAGUCAUAGUUCAACCACUGUGUUACCAGCCACACUAAGUCAUAGUUCAACCACUGUGUUACCAGCCACACUAAGUCAUAGUUCAACCACUGUGUUACCAGCCACACUAAGUCAUAGUUCAACCACUGUGUUACCACACUAAGUCAUAGUUCAACCACUGUGUUACCAGCCACACUAAGUCAUAGUUCAACCACUGUGUUACCACACUAAGUCAUAGUUCAACCACUGUGUUACCAGCCACACUAAGUCAUAGUUCAAUCACUGUGUUACCAGCCACACUAAGUCAUAGUUCAACCACUGUGUUACCAGCCACACUAAGUCAUAGUUCAACCACUGUGUUACCACACUAAGUCAUAGUUCAACCACUGUGUUACCAGCCACACUAAGUCAUAGUUCAACCACUGUGUUACCACACUAAGUCAUAGUUCAACCACUGUGUUACCAGCCACACUAAGUCAUAGUUCAAUCACUGUGUUACCAGCCACACUAAGUCAUAGUUCAACCACUGUGUUACCAGCCACAAAGUCAUAGUUCAACCACUGUGUUACCACACUAAGUCAUAGUUCAACCACUGUGUUACCAGCCACACUAAGUCAUAGUUCAACCACUGUGUUACCACACUAAGUCAUAGUUCAUAACUACAUAAGAGGAGAAUGUCUGCAGCAUGCUGUUAAGUAACGUUUCAAUUAACCGUUUGGUUCUGUAUAGUAAUGUAUAGUCAUGUUUAAGAUACAGACAUCUGGUAUAGCACAUCUCUGUUGAUAUGACAUCCUUUACAGGGUGACAUGAAGAAGAUGGUUUGUGUCCUAAAAGGCACCCUAUUCCCUACAUAGUGUAGGGCCCAUAGAGUUCUGGUCUAAAGUAGUGUACUACGUAGGGAAUAGAGUGCCCUUUGGGACUAGGCCGAGACUUGUACCUGUGAUUCCCUGAUAAUGUUGAUAUUGAAAUGAACUGUUUAAUAUGUUUAGAGAAAAGGUGAAUUACACACUAAAUAUAUUUUUUACGUUUGUGGAUUUCACCACACCAAAAAUAAUAUAUAUAUAUAUAUAUAUAUAUAUGAUGUUUUGCCAUGUGUAGAUCCUGGGGAAGACGGAUCAUAUGGAUGGCUCUUAGAGAGACUUUUCACAUUUCCCAUGUCCCAUGUGUCAGCCUACCUCUCACAGGGAACCACUCCCCACAUGGGACAAACAGAGCAGAGAGCUUCUUUAAAAAGCACAGGUCAUAUUUGUGAGUCAGCCAUAUUUGUUAUCAUGUUUAAUAUUGAUACUAUACUGAUACUAGUGAUGAGAGACAGCGGUUGGGUGGACGUGGUGAUCAGUGACUCUUUUUAAAACCCUUUCCCAUAGCACAGAACCCAGUACUGGAGUCAAAGACGGGUUGCAAAGUUCUGGUCAUUUUCCCCAAAUUCCCAAGUUUUCCAGAACUUCUGUUUGGAAGAUUCCUGGAAUCAGAAGGAACUCAAAAUCCUCAAACCAGGAUUUCAGGAAAACCUAAUCAUUUUGUCUAGCAGUCAAGUCAAGUACAGACUAAACCAGAAGCUGGGGUCUUGGAAGCAUCCCAAAUGGCUCCCUAUACCCUACAUACUAUAGUGCACUAGGUAAGAUCUAAACCCUAGCCCGGUCAGAAGUAGUACACUAUGAAGGAAAAAGUUAAAAACAGUUGAAUUUGUCCUGGACGCCUCCGUCUUCAUCACUAGUUAUUGUUUUUGCCCUGUUCUGAUUGGUUUGUUGUGUGAUUAAAAAAGAGAGUGAAUCAGUCAGAGGGUGUUCUGAUUGGUUUGUUGUGUGAUUAAAAAAGAGAGAGAAUCAGUCAUAGGGUGUUCUGAUUGGUUUGUUGUGUGAUUAAAAAAGAGAAUCAGUCAUAGGGUGUUCUGAUUGGUUUGUUGUGUGAUUAAAAAAGAGAGAGAAUCAGUCAGAGGGUGUUCUGAUUGGUUUGUUGUGUGAUUAAAAAAGAGAGAGAAUCAGUCAGAGGGUGUUCUGAUUGGUUUGUUGUGUGAUUAAAAAAGAGAGAGAAUCAGUCAUAGGGUGUUCUGAUGAUCUUCUGCACCGACACAGAAAUGACAGACUAACAUUCUGUCUGCUCCUCUCGCUCUGGGGGCGGG